GCAGCAGCAGCAGCAGCAGGCGUGCUGCUGCUGCUGCAGGAGCAGCAGCAGCCGCAGCAGCAAACAGCCGCGGGACUGCA
rnacentral:ncRNA from 10 species